rnacentral:rRNA from 1 species
GACGAACGCUGGCGGCGUGCCUAAUACAUGCAAGUAGAACGCUGAAGGAGGAGCUUGCUUCUCUGGAUGAGUUGCGAACGGGUGAGUAACGCGUAGGUAACCUGCCUGGUAGCGGGGGAUAACUAUUGGAAACGAUAGCUAAUACCGCAUAAGAGUAGAUGUUGCAUGACAUUUGCUUAAAAGGUGCAAUUGCAUCACUACCAGAUGGACCUGCGUUGUAUUAGCUAGUUGGUGGGGUAACGGCCCACCAAGGCGACGAUACAUAGCCGACCUGAGAGGGUGGUCGGCCACACUGGGACUGAGACACGGCCCAGACUCCUACGGGAGGCAGCAGUAGGGAAUCUUCGGCAAUGGACGGAAGUCUGACCGAGCAACGCCGCGGGAGUGAAGAAGGUUUUCGGAUCGUAAAGCUCGGUUGUAAGAGAAGAACGAGUGUGAGAGUGGAAAGUUCACACUGUGACGGUAUCUUACCAGAAAGGGACGGCUAACUACGUG